GACGAACGCUGGCGGCGUGCCUAAUACAUGCAAGUAGAACGCUGAAGGAGGAGCUUGCUUCUCCGGAUGAGUUGCUAACGGGUGAGUAACGCGUAGGUAACCUGCCUGGUAGCGGGGGAUAACUAUUGGAAACGAUAGCUAAUACCGCAUAAGAGUAGAUGCUGCAUGACAUUUGCUUAAAAGGUGCAAUUGCAUCACUACCAGAUGGACCUGCGUUGUAUUAGCUAGUUGGUGAGGUAACGGCUCACCAAGGCGACGAUACAUAGCCGACCUGCGAGGGGGUUGGGCCACACGGGGAGUGGGGCACGGCCCAAACUCCUAGGGGGGGCAGCGGUAGGGAAUUUUCGGCGAGGGAGGGAAGGCUGACCGGGCAACGCCGGGGGAGGGAAGAGGGUUUUCGGAUCGUAAAGCUCUGUUGGAAGGAAAGAACGAGUGUGGGGGGGGAAAGUUCCCCCUGUGACGGUUUCUUACCAGAAGGGGACGGCAAACUCCGG
rnacentral:rRNA from 1 species